CAGAAACUGGAACCAGGAAAUCCCUAGUUCCCCACACGAUCCUCUUCCUCUAUAAAGCCUCGCCCCCGCGACACAGAUGCACCCAGUCGCGCACUGAAACCCCCCACGCCAUCAUCGCCCCAUCAACGCGCAGCUCGCGUAACAUUUGCAGGCCCUCAUCGUCCCCUCGAGGUCUCCGUUUGCCAUGGCGGACCAGCUCAGCGAGGAGCAGAUUGGCGAGUUCAAGGAGGCCUUCAGCCUCUUCGACAAGGACGGCGAUGGCAGCAUCACCACCAAGGAGCUUGGAACCGUGAUGCGCUCCCUUGGCCAGAACCCGACCGAGGCAGAGCUGCAGGACAUGAUCAACGAGGUGGAUGCGGACGGCAACGGCACCAUCGACUUCCCAGAGUUCCUGAACCUGAUGGCCCGCAAGAUGAAGGACACCGACUCAGAGGAGGAGCUCAAGGAGGCGUUCCGUGUGUUCGACAAGGACCAGAACGGUUUCAUCUCUGCAGCGGAGCUCCGCCAGGUGAUGACCAACCUCGGGGAGAAGCUUUCCGAGGAGGUGGAGGAGAUGGUCCGCGAGGCCGACGUGGAUGGCGACGGCCAGAUCAACUACGACGAGUUCGUCAAGGUCAUGAUGGCCAAGAGAAGGGAGAAGAGGAUAGAGGAGAGGAGAGCGCCGUCGGCCAAGAAGAGCGCUGCAGGGGCGUCUGGUGCAAAGGGCAACAAAUGCAUAAUCCUCUAGCUGAAACCAUCGAGCGUGCAUAGUGUGUGUGGUGCGCUCGGAGCGCUGGUCCCCGACCGACGCAUCUGAGCUGUUGUAUGUAUCAAUGUAUGUUCAUGUGUAUCCCGGUGUAUGAUGGCCAUCGGCCUACGACUGUAACCAUUCUCAAGGUAAACGAAUAAAGUUGCUCUGUGUCUUGCAGAAAAAGAAGAAAGUGUAGAUACAAGGCGUGGCGGAGCUUGAGACUUUUGUUUCGAAUCAAAGUGACUGAUUGAUCUCAUCGAUGGUUACAGGAUGCCAUUUAUAUGGUCCGGAGGGAUACAACGGUUCGGACAAGACGUUGGUUCCAGACCAGAUGCGUCCGUGCGGGAGGCAACCGCACGGCGGUUGGGC
rnacentral:rRNA from 1 species